rnacentral:rRNA from 1 species
AGUCUCGUUGGUGACCAGCGGAGGGAUCAUUACCGAGUUUACAACUCCCAAACCCAUUGUGAACUUAUACCCAAAACGUUGCCUCGGCGGACACAGCGGUACCCGAGCCCCCGCAAGGGAGCAAAGGCGCCCCGUCCGCCAGGGGACCAAAAACUCUUCUGUAUACCCAUAGCGGCAUGUCUGAGUGGAUUUAAAAACAAAUGAAUCAAAACUUUCAACAACGGAUCUCUUGGUUCUGGCAUCGAUGAAGAACGCAGCGAAAUGCGAUACGUAAUGUGAAUUGCAGACUUCAGUGAAUCAUCGAAUCUUUGAACGCACAUUGCGCCCGCCAGUAUUCUGGCGGGCAUGCCUGUUCGAGCGUCAUUUCAACCCUCAAGCCCUGCUUGGUGUUGGGGACCGGCUCAGCCGGGUGCGGGCUUCGGCCCGCCCCGUGCCGCCCCCGAAAUGGAUCGGCGGUCUCGUCGCAGCCUUCUUUGCGUAGUAACAUACCACCUCGCAACAGGAGCGCGGCGCGGCCACUGCCGUAAAACGCCCAACUUUUCAGAGUUGACCUCGAAUCAGGUAGGAAUACCCGCUGAACUUAAGCAUAUCU